AAAAAGCCCAAACCCCUCUUAUUUAUACUCCAGGUUUUUAAGUUUGUAAUAUAUGCCCCAAACUUUAACAAUCCAGAAAAAUUGGAUGGAAGGGAGGAAGGGAGGAAGGGAGGAAGUGAGGAAGGUGGAUUAAGGAAUUCACCCUAGUUUUAUUGAUUGUUUCCAAAAGUCACCAAGAAAAAUAUCCUGAGUGAUAUUAAACAUUCGAACUUUCAAUAUUUUUUGUCAUUACAACAUCAGAAUGUUAACAUUUAAAAAAUAUAUAAAAGUAAGAGAAAUAAAGAUACGAUUUUAUUGAGCCUGAAGAUGCAAAAAGAGCACCACAGACACUGCCAUCUCUGCUCUGCCUUCAGUGCAAAUUUUGUUAGAUUAAUGUGAUUUUAGUCUACAUUUUCUUCUGUCUUUCUGUCUUGGAGUUUCUUUUGUUGCUUUUACGUUGCCUUAUAUGAAAGUUCUGUGGUUAAGUUAAAUAUUGCCUCUCCUUGACUGUUUAAGAUUCUCUUAUUUAGUCACAAAAUACAUAAGAAAACAUUCUCUUUAUUCUGUGUAGUAGAAGAUAAAGCUGCAAUACCAAUCUUCAAGAGAUGGGUGAAUGCCACAGAAAAAUAUGGUUUUACAAAAAGGAUUCAAGAAGCAUUAAGGAUGGUAUUUAGGCAGAUGAACAGCAUUUCUCCUGAGACAUGGGUUGGUCCAGGAAGGAAUUUGUUUUCCCGAUAAUAAGCCCUUGGACAUUUUCCCAGAAAAUGCUUCCUCAAUCAUAAUGAUGCAGCACUGGAUCUUGCAAAGGAUUUUUCUGAGAAGAGCAUAGAAGAAAGUGACUUUUUGCUUGAACUGAAUGGAAAUAAUCCAGACUUAUCUGACAGCAAGCUGGAGCAGAAUUUUGGGCAGAGGUUCUCAAAAACAGAAAGAAAGAAAAUAUGCAAUUUUAACAGGAAAAAAAAAAAAAGAAUAAAUGGAAAGAAAUAUCCUAUUGUAAUUAAAUCAAGAGGGAAGAAUUAGCACCCCGAGAAGGUAACAUUGGGUUAUACCGUCCCACACAAGUGGCCUAAGGACCACACAGAAACUUCUCUGUAUCUCUGUUCAAUUAACACCUCCCUUUCUUGAAUGAAUGAACGGAAAAGUCACGCAAGCAGAAAAACCAGAAAGAUCUUGUAAAAAAUCAAUCAAACAAAAAAUCCCUCUAAAAACAGUAGACAUAUUUGACGUUUGACCCAGCUCGGACAGCCAGCACACUUGGGGAGAAAGAGAAGAUUCAGUGACACAUAAGGAAUGUAGAAACUUGAAAAUAGACUUGGCACUGAAGGAAAAGCUGAAUUUGAUGACCAGAUGAUGGAUGGCUAAUAUAAAGUGACACUGAACAGAGAAAAUUAUUUCCCUAGAGAGCAGC
ensembl:lncRNA